UGAACGCUGGCGGCGUGCCUAAUACAUGCAAGUCGAGCGAACGGACGAGAAGCUUGCUUCUCUGAUGUUAGCGGCGGACGGGUGAGUAACACGUGGAUAACCUACCUAUAAGACUGGGAUAACUUCGGGAAACCGGAGCUAAUACCGGAUAAUAUUUUGAACCGCAUGGUUCAAAAGUGAAAGACGGUCUUGCUGUCACUUAUAGAUGGAUCCGCGCUGCAUUAGCUAGUUGGUAAGGUAACGGCUUACCAAGGCAACGAUGCAUAGCCGACCUGAGAGGGUGAAUGGCCAAACUGGAACUGAGACACGGUCCAGACUCCUACGGGAGGCAGCAGUAGGGAAUCCUCCGCAAUGGGCGAAAGCCUGACGGUGCAACGCCGCGUGAGUGAUGAAGGUCUUAGGAUCGGUAAACUCUGUUAUUAGGGAAGAACAUAUGUGUAAGUAACUGUGCACAUCUUGACGGUACCUAAUCAGAAAGCCACGGCUAACUACGUG
rnacentral:rRNA from 1 species